GCACCAUACACCUAUGUAUAAGCCCCCAUAUGUAUAAGCCCAUCAAGAAUGCUUAUAUCGGAGAUUUGUUAAUUCCGUACGCAUUUUUCAAGCUGAUGUGCAAUUUUUUUAAGAAUGACGCAAUAUGCAUUUAUAAAUAUAUAUCUGACAGUGCACUUUGCACUGACAAAAUUUGAUAUUUCAAGAAAGAGAAUUUAUUUCAAAACUAAAGUUGUGUGUGUAUUUUUCCUCACUUACAUGCACACUUCAAUGUACACAGAAAGAGGACUGUACUGUACAUAUUUGAUGCAGCAUAUUUACCUGACAGCACCUGGCCAGGGGAAAUGGCUUUGUUAUUCUGAAACAAUUGCCUUUGGGUGGAUAAAACUCCACAUGUAGAUGGCACAAUAUGUCGUGCUGCAAAGUAACCCACAUUUCUGCUGAACAGCUUCAAAGAACUGUAUUUAAAUCGCGUAUUUCGAGCAAAACAACAAAAACAAAGUACCGACUUGGCCGCCAUAUUGAAUUUUAAUAAGCCCGAGGUUAUUUUCGUGGUUACAAAACCCCGGUGAGAAACUCAAGGUUUUUGAAAAUUUAUCAAUUUAUGAAUAUCUGUCUUCAACUGCUCUAAUGUCUAAACAUG